GGCUCGUUGGUCUAGGGGUAUGAUUCUAGCUUUGGGUGCGAGAGGUCCCGGGUUCAAACCCCGGACGAGCCC
rnacentral:tRNA from 1 species